rnacentral:misc_RNA from 1 species
GAAAUGCGAUAAGUAGUGUGAAUUGCAGAAUUCAGUGAAUCAUCGAAUCUUUGAACGCACAUUGCGCCCCUUGGUAUUCCAUGGGGCAUGCCUGUUCGAGCGUCAUUUGUACCUUCAAGCUUUGCUUGGUGUUGGGUGUUUGUCUCGCCUCUGCGUGUAGACUCGCCUCAAAACAAUUGGCAGCCUGCGUAUUGAUUUCGGAGCGCAGUACAUCUCGCGCUUUGCACUCAUAACGACGACGUCCAAAAGUACAUUUUUACACUCUUGACCUCGGAUCAGGUAGGGAUACCCGCUGAACUUAAGC